GAUGAACGCUAGCGACAGGCUUAACACAUGCAAGUCGAGGGGCAGCAUAGAAGUAGCAAUACUUUGGUGGCGACCGGCGCACGGGUGAGUAACGCGUAUGCAACCUACCUAUCAGAGGGGAUAACCCGGCGAAAGUCGGACUAAUACCGCAUAAAACAGGGGCACCGCAUGGUGAUAUUUGUUAAAGAAAUUCGCUGAUAGAUGGGCAUGCGUUCCAUUAGGUAGUUGGUGAGGUAACGGCUCACCAAGCCGACGAUGGAUAGGGGAACUGAGGGGUUGGUCCCCCACACUGGUACUGAGACACGGACCAGACUCAUACGGGAGGCAGCAGUGAGGAAUAUUGGUCAAUGGGCGGGAGCCUGAACCAGCCAAGUCGCGUGAAGGAAGAAGGAUCUAUGGUUCGUAAACUUCUUUUGCAGGGGAAUAAAGUGCAGGACUUGUCCUGUUUUGUAUGUACCCUGAGAAUAAGGAUCGGCUAACUCCGUGCCAGCAGCCGCCGUAACAC
rnacentral:rRNA from 1 species